GACGAACGCUGGCGGCGUGCCUAAUACAUGCAAGUAGAACGCACAGUUUAUACCGUAGCUUGCUACACCAUAGACUGUGAGUUGCGAACGGGUGAGUAACGCGUAGGUAACCUGCCUGGUAGCGGGGGAUAACUAUUGGAAACGAUAGCUAAUACCGCAUAAUAUUAAUUAUUGCAUGAUAAUUAAUUGAAAGGUGCAAUUGCACCACUACCAGAUGGACCUGCGUUGUAUUAGCUAGUAGGUGAGGUAACGGCUCACCUAGGCGACGAUACAUAGCCGACCUGAGAGGGUGAUCGGCCACACUGGGACUGAGACACGGCCCAGACUCCUACGGGAGGCAGCAGUAGGGAAUCUUCGGCAAUGGACGAAAGUCUGACCGAGCAACGCCGCGUGAGUGAAGAAGGGUUUCGGAUCGUAAAGCUCUGUUGUAAGAGAAGAACGGGUGUGAGAGUGGAAAGUUCACACUGUGACGGUAUCUUACCAGAAAGGGACGGCUAACUACGUG
rnacentral:rRNA from 1 species